rnacentral:rRNA from 1 species
GACGAACGCUGGCGGCGUGCUUAACACAUGCAAGUCGAACGCUGAAGCCCUAGCUUGCUGGGGUGGAUGAGUGGCGAACGGGUGAGUAACACGUGAGUAACCUGCCCCUGACUCUGGGAUAAGCGCUGGAAACGGUGUCUAAUACUGGAUAUGAGCAUUAACCGCAUGGUUUGGUGCUGGAAAGAUUUAUCGGUUGGGGAUGGACUCGCGGCCUAUCAGCUAGAUGGUGAGGUAAUGGCUCACCAUGGCGACGACGGGUAGCCGGCCUGAGAGGGUGACCGGCCACACUGGGACUGAGACACGGCCCAGACUCCUACGGGAGGCAGCAGUGGGGAAUAUUGCACAAUGGGCGCAAGCCUGAUGCAGCAACGCCGCGUGAGGGAUGACGGCCUUCGGGUUGUAAACCUCUUUUGUCAGGGAAGAAGCCGCAAGGUGACGGUACCUGGAGAAAAAGCACCGGCUAACUACGUGCCAGCCGCCGCGGUAACAC